rnacentral:misc_RNA from 1 species
GUUUCUACCUUUUCCUCCAAUUCAAUGCCACAUCUUGCUUCUAACUGCAAUUCUGGAGCAGUUAUUUGAUCUGGGAGGUCUUCAUGUACAGGUGGAGUUUGAUGAUGGCUGAUCAAAGGAGAGCUUUCACCUUCGGAUGAAGGUUUUUUAGAGCCUUCCAACUCAACUCCUGAUUUCAAACAAUAUCUCCCCGGAGCUUGGUAGGUCGCAAUUUUUUUAAUGAUUGGCUCGAUCUUUUUUACAGCAUUUGGGAUUUUAUCGCCAACAGCCUUCUCCAAGGCCUUCAAACUCAUCCCCUUGGGAUUCUCCAAAAGUAAAUUAUACAACAUUCCUUGCAAGUCUGUUGGUUUAGCUCCACUA